rnacentral:rRNA from 1 species
UGAUUGAACGUUUUUCAGUAGUUUUAAGACAUGCAAAUCGUUAUUCUAGAAGCUUUCACCAUUAUAAAAAUAAACUAUGUUAAGUAUUAAAACUUAGCGGAAAUUUAAAAGUAAUGGUAAUUGUUAUAUAGAAUAAGGUGUAAAGGUGAGUAAUGGUAAAUAAAAUAUCUUAUAGACCUCUUAAAUAGGGGAUAGUUAUAAAGUUAAGUAGCAGGCUCGAGAGCUAAUAUAAAUUAAUAUAAUUAGCUCUUCGAGAUCGUAAGUCUUCUUUACAAAUAACAAUAGUAAGCUUAGCUAUUAAUAAAGGAAAUUUUCUACUAUAAGAGUUGAUUUAUUUUGUUUAAUGGUAGUUGGUAGGGUAAAAGCCUACCAAGCCGACGAUCAAUAGCCAGAUUUGAAAGAAGAGAUGGCCACAUUGGGAAUGGAAAGCCCCAAAUUGCAUAUGCAAUCUGCAGUCAAGAAUAUUAGUCAAUGCUCGCAAGAGUGAACUAGCUAACUGAAAUCACAUAAUCACUUAAUCGUGCUUAUGUGAUAACGUAAGGGAAAAUAAUGAUACUACCUUACUAUUAGUGUUGUCUAAAUUACUGGUGCCAGAAGACUCGGUAACACCAGAAACGCGAACGUUAGUCGUCUUAAACAGGCGUAAAGGGUCAGUAGGCAGCUUAUAAAUCUUUAUUUGCCUAAUUAGAGUUUUUUUAUAUUAUUUAAUAAUAUUUUCUCGCGUAAGCGUAAAAAAAAUUUAAAUAAAGAAUAAAGAGAAGUUAAUUGGGACUAUCCUCCUUGUUUUUAUUAUGUUUAUACAUCUAGAGCCCUCUAAAUUUAACCCAAUCCAAUAAUAGGAAAAUAGGGACCUUUGCUUCGAAACCCUAAAUAAAUAGAACUGCAAAGAGUAAAAAUUAAGUUAGUGGGUUAAAAAUAUAAACUUUAAAAUAAUAGGGGUGUUAGAUCUUAAGCAAUAAUUUAAUAAAUCUGGAAAAAAUAUUGUAAAAUAUUAAAAGGACUUAGCUUUAUUAAAUUAUUAAUAUUUAGAUAGAGAAAAUACAAGCUAGAAUCAUAUUGAGGAUAAACCAAAGAAUGCUUAAGAGAAGGGAUUAAAUCCUUAGAUACUAAGUGGAAUACUAAUGGCGAAAGCUUUUAUCUAUUAAUGAUUGACGCUGAGGGACGAAAGUGAGAACAGGGAAUAGGAUUUUAAAAUGCGACCUGAAAAGCUUAUUUAAAGUAUAACCUCCCUAGGAGGUAUAAUAAUCUGUCUUAUUAUAGUUCACCUUAAUAGACUAGCAUAGGUAACGAACUAGUUUAAAGCUUAAGGUAUAAUUAAAUUAAUUUUAAUUUGAACUGUCUUCUAUGAUUAGAGAGAUCGAAUCUAUGUAAUUAAAGGUUCUAUAAACUAGGUUAAUCUCGUGUCCUAGGUGAUUAUCAGACAGACAAACAGUUAUAGAAUCAAAGUAGAAAUCUAAGGAAGACUAUUACGUAUUUAAAUAGGAACAGGGAAACUCCUAUAAUCUGCUAUAAAUUAUUAGCAAGGAAAUUAGCAAUGGUUUCCGAUAGAUUAGAGGAAACAAGACACGUAAAAAGCGAAGGCUAUUAUGUAAUGUAGUAGAUAGGCUCUUAUUGUAUAUGAAAAGGCUCUAUUAGGGCUCGAAAAAGGCUCUAAUUUAUUAUUUUUAGAUCACAAUAAGAAGAUAGCUAAUCUGAAAGGAUGCAGACUUACGUUAGGGUGAUUUUAAAGUAAAAUAUAAAUAAAAAAGGGGUAAUGUUUUUAAAGGACAUGGAAAAUAAAACAUUAAAUAAAAAUUGGAUUGAGUGGUUUGUAGGAUUCUGUGAUGCCGACGCUAAUUUUCAAGUAUUUCCUAAACAAAGGUCCUAUUUAAAAAAAGAUGGUACAUUAAGUAAAUAUAUUAACAUUGGUUAUGGUUUCCACAUUAGUUUGAGUCAAAGAGAAACAGAACUACUUAAAGAUUUUCAAAUAAAAUUUAAUCACAUAGGUCACAUAUAUACUUACCCUGAAAAAGAGGAAUGUAGAUGGGCAGUAACUAAAAAAUCUGAGCUAAUCUAUUUAAUAGAAACUGCAUUUAGUCUAGAUAAUGUUAUUUUAAUAACAAAACAUCAAAGAGAAAGACUUGCAAGAUUAAAAUAUGUUCUUAUUAACAAUAUUAAAAGAUUUGAGACAUCAGAAGAGUUUGAAAAUUUUCUUGAAAAAAGCUAUGUACAACCCGAAAUUAAUGAUGAGUAUCUCAGUCAAGUAUAUUUAAAGCAAGAUACCGCUUUUAAAAAUUGGAUAAUAGGGUUUAUUAAUGGUGAGGGUUAUUUCUAUGUAAAUCCUAGAGGUUAUUUAAUCUUUAGUAUUGAACAUACAGAUAGAAAAGCUCUUGAAUUAAUCAAACAAUAUCUAGACUUAGGUCCAAAUAUCUUAGAUAGAGGGAACAGAGGAGAUACAAGACAAAAUAGUUAUUCUCUAAGUAUACAAUCUAAGAAAGAUAUACUUACUAUAAAAAAUUUAUGUGAAAAUCCACUAUUAAAUAGAUUAGAAGGUUUUAAAUUAAAACAAUAUAAUAACUGAGCCCAUCCGGCAAAGGUAGUAGAUGAAACAUAGUUAGAAAAUUAAAGCAGUACUUUUUAACCCCCUUUUUUAUUUACUUUAUAAUGGCUUGAGCCGUAUGCGAUGAAAGUCGCACGUACGGUUCUUUGUGGAAGAACAGUUGUGAAACUCUGAUUCCACGGUUAGAUACCCAGUUACCUCUCACCGUAAACGAUGAAUGGUAGUUGUUAAUUAAAAAUUAGUAACGAUGUUAACGCGAUAACCAUUCCGCCUUGAGAGUACGGUUGCAAAACUGAAACCAAAAAAAUUAGUCGGUCUCGGAGCAAACGAAGUGAAGCAUGUUAUUUAAUACGUAAGUACGCGUAAAAUCUUACCAGUUCUUGCAUAGCCAUUCUCUCUUUUUUACCUUGAAAGCAAGCUAUUCAAUAUAUAAUAUUAUACCCUUUUUUUAAAGCUUGUAAUGUUAUUAACCUUAAACCCUCUAGAGUCCCGGUAACGGGCUUAACCUGCAAAUUCGCAGGUCUCUUGAGGUGGGUAAAAUUUAUGCCUAAAUGAAAAUUAGACUGGAAUGAGAAACACUUAAAAUAAAGCUAAUUCUCUAUAAGAAUAGCAGGGCUAUUAGCUUUAUUUAUUUGUACGUUUACAGGUGUUGCAUGGCUGUCGUCAGUCCGUAUUGUGAAAAGUGAGGUUAACUCCACUAACGGACGAAAUCCCUGUAGUUAAUUUAUACUUAACUAUUUAUGACUAUUAAAUAUAUUCAUUUGGGGCUAAGACAAGUCGUUAUGGCCCUCAUGAACUGGGCUAUAGACGUGCCACAAGUAUUUUUACAAAAUGACGCAAAACUUUUUUUAGUUAGAGUACUUAUUCUAACUUUAAUCUAAGGAUUAGCUAAUCACUAAAGAAAAUACAAUAUUAUUUUUACGGAUUGUUGCCUGUAACUCGGCAGCAUGAAGAAGGAAUUUCGAGUAAUCGUUGAUUAGUAACGCAACGGUGAACAACAGAUCCGUGAUGAACUAACUGUCUGUCGCUGGGGAGGAGUUCGGUUUGGGGGAAAUCGCCGCUAGUUCAUACUAAAACUAAGUAUACUACCACCCCUCGAAGAGGUUUAAAGAGUGGGUAAGUAUUUGCUCUUUUUAAAAAAUUGCUUAUCCGCAAAAGGGGCGAAAAGUUAAGUAAAAAGUUAAAGAAAGCUUAAUUUAGCCAGCGAAAUCUGGAGUAAUUUAAGUUAAAGCAUUAUGUAGUUAUCCUUUUUUCCUAAUAAAAGGCUCUAGUUCUAGAGCAAUUGAGUUCGGAAAAAUCUUAUAGAAAAUUAACUACUUAGUUAGAAUUUAUUAGUUUCGAUUAACCUUUCUGAAUAACAUCUCAAAAGUCAUAGCAAGGUAGCUGUACUGGAAAGUGCAGCUGGAUAUUA